rnacentral:tRNA from 1 species
AGAGACUUAGGCUAACAAAGACCAAAAGCCUUCAAAGCUUUAAGUGAGGGUUAAAAUCCCUCAGCCUCUG